GUAUAACCAUUAGACUUUUAAGAGAUGGAGAACGAAAUUAAGGCAUGAAAAGUUUAGAAAUGUCAGCCAUUAUUAUUGUUGUGAUCCUUUUUGUUCUUGGAAAUGAGAUAAUGGCCCAAGAUUCUGAAAGAGUAUGUGGAGUUCCA